ensembl:lncRNA
CAAAAGAGGAAGAUCCUGUAGGGUCAGAAGCCUUUGGGGUGGGAAAGGAGGCACCGGGCAGGAGGAAGGGAGAAAGCUGUUUUUAGGAAGAAAAGUCCAGGAUGGAAAGAGAAAAGUGCAGUGAAGCCAAUCCAAGUAGUGGAGUGAAAGAGGAACAAAGGAAUCUGGCAGUGUGCACUGGCUUGCUUGAUCCUGGUUGCUCCAGACCAGUUCCUGGCCCACCCUGCUCUCUUUGGCUGCUCUCUGUGCUGGCUGACACCUCCCUUUCAGUUCUGCCAUUCUCUUUACCAAGAUGUCACUCCUCCAUGUGA